CGUUACUCCCGGUGUCAAGUACAGCGGCUAUUAUUAGAGCUAUGUAUGCGCUUGCCGGGCAACUACGUCUUAACAGGUAAAAGUCGAAGUACUUGGCGGUCUAGCGAUGAACCAGCCCGUGAGACUUGACGGUUAAUCCGAUGAUCCGCGUAAAUUCUACUCUUUCUUGAAUUCUCAGUUGGUGUAUGGCCGUCUAGUGCUAUCUGAAAGGAAGUUGCGCCAAGCCAUUGUUUGUACGAGUUUAUAAUUUUAGUAUAAGCGGAUGGAGUAAUUCAGGUCGUCAUGCCGCUCACGAAGGAGGCUUAGUUGAGUCACAUUGAUGAGAUCAAGCGGAACCAAGUAGGAAGUGGCUUGGGGAAGAAGUAAUGGGUAGUAAGAAGAGAAUAAUUCGCUUUUCUGAAUCGUGAACUCCUAGGUGUACAAAUCGCCC
rnacentral:rRNA from 1 species